AGGUUUGCGUUGACCAGCUCACAGCUACAAGACGUGUCAAAUCCUCGUCCCGUUCUCCGAUCUGUCGACUCCUUGAUCCAGGUGUGGUGGCGGGACU